GCCGUGAUGCCAGAGUGGUUAAUGGGUAAGACUUGAAUUGUUUAUAAUUUGGUUAUCUUAUGGCUUCGGCCUCGUAGGUUCAAAUCCUGCUCACGGCG
rfam:Pseudogymnoascus pannorum VKM F-4246 contig_1422, whole genome shotgun sequence.